rnacentral:tRNA from 1 species
GUCUCUUUCGUCUAGUGGCCCAGGACAACUAACUUUCCCUUAGUAGAUCGUCGGUUCGAAUCCGACAAGAGACG